GUCCCCGCCCCUCACCCUGGGUACAUAUUAAACCCCAUCCCUUGGAAUAAUGAGAAGCCACGCCCCUAGGCCGCCACUGGCCACAGUCCCGCUUGGCGGGCGGAGCCAAUCAGAUCCCACUGGUAUCCUGGUCACACCCAGACUAAUCCGUCCGCUUUUUCUCUCCUUACUCUCAACUCCUUCCAGUUUAACAAUAAUCCACAUCCUUUGGACCAACUCCCAGCCCCUUCCAAAACUAGCAUUUCCCAUUCCCCGGUGGACAGUCACCCUUCACCCUCCAUCUUCCAGGGAUACCCAAACCCUCGGCUCUCAAGGCCCCGCCCCUUACGCCCUUCACGUCACAGGAGCCAGAAGCAGAAGUACGGUUCUGCGCAUGCGCGAGACGCUGUCUUGUCACCCGGCUUGGGCGGCGGCCAUGUCCCCUCGUGUCUCUGUGCCCGUCUUAAGUAAAUUUCUCCCUCAGUUUGUAACCUACUGGUCCUGGCCCCGCCUUAUCCAUUCUCCAGGCCCUGGAAGCGGAGGGCUGGGCUCGGGGGUCCGUGGUCCGCUCCCCUCGCGGACCCUGCUGGCUUCUCUGCGGCGAGGUCCUCUGCGAGCCUUGUCAGCCCGGCUCACGCCCUUCCCGCGGGGGGCGGUUCUCCCGCGGGCUGGGAUUAGAGAACCGCUGUCGUCUUUAGUCCCCAAAUGCAUCCUGUGCUCUGUCUUUGCAGAAAGGGAAAGCAUCUCUGCUUUGGGGCCGGGGGACGCGAAUCUCCACGUCGCUGUCGCUGCCGCUGCGCGGGUCCCUGGAUUUCUGCGCGCUGGGAGACAUGGAGGCAGCAAGAAGAGCUUCUGGGUCACAGAAAAAUAUGAUGCAGGUAAGUGAAAGGUAGUAAUUCUCCAAAAGAAUACUUCCCUU
rnacentral:lncRNA from 1 species